rnacentral:misc_RNA from 1 species
AUCAAAAUUAGCUUACUCGUAAUACAUUAGCACAAUUCAACUUCGAACUCGGAUUGACUCGGCGUAAUAGACUAUUCGCUGAGGACAUUGAGAAUUAGUUUUCUCUAAUGGCCGACUUUAGACGAUUUGAAUAGCUCAAAUACUAUAAACCUUUUUUAAGAUUAGACCUCAAAUCAGGCAGGAUUACCCGCUGAACUUAA